CAAAGUCCCUGGAGUCUGCCAGGACAUCCUAUAACGUUUGGGCGACCCUAAAACGUUCAGAGGACGUUCGCGGUGUACGAUGUUCGGAAGGCAUAUUAUUGUUAGCUGGGUAACGGAUGUUCUAACAUCCUUAGCUUCAGAAACUUUCCGGUUCCAACCUGCAUCCAGAAGCAUAUUCUGAAAUGAUAAAAUAACCUGGACUUCUGUGAGCAAACAUGACAGAAAGGGCCAUGAACUCGUCUGCGAGUUGGACAGUUUUCUUCCGGGUUGAAGUGAUGGGCGGAUGCGAGGGUUCCUCCGGCUCCUCCGCCACCGAUGUAGACCAGGCAGCGGCGCUCAGCGCUUCAGCCGGAGUCGAGUGCAAAUAACAUGGACUGUCCGCCCUCCAUCCUCGGCUAAUUUAGUAUUUCAUUACCAUCAACGGGACCGACUGCGCACGGCGAACUGGUAGGUCGCCAUUUCUCUCUGAAGGGGCCGACGAUAUCCCACGAAUAGCGAUCUGUUUCAGGUCCUAGUUUCCCCCCUCAUUCCCGGAUUUUGUUUUGAGGCACUGCCAUCUCGGGAUUUGUUUUUUUCCCCCAGACUGUUAAGCCCACAUCCUCGGUGGGACACUGCUCGCCAGCGGUCUUGAACGUUUCUCUCACGGCUCUAAGGCUGCGAGAAACACUUUAACAAGCGCGGCACACUAACGGCCAACGGACGUCGGUUCCUCACACGGGGGACUGGCUUUGCCAGCUAAGUAAAAGGACAUUUUUUCUGCUCUUCAGACCGUUUUAAUCUUGUCACAGAAGAGGUAGGGGGAAAGCGGAAUGCGACUUUUUCAGCCUCUGUGAUAUUCACAAGCCAUUGCAAAGCAGCAGUCGCUGGAACCAAUUAAAAUUUCCACAGAAAACAAGGAAACGGAAAUUCUGACUGUUGGAAGCGUUUGACCUUUUGACAGACGCAAACAUCCUUGAGUUUUCACGUAUAAAGGGCUCUGAUAGUCCGGACUGAAGCGCGACUAGUGGCCCCAAGCCAGCGUGAGCAGGGGCAGAUACGUACGAGGCUGGAGGGAGCAGGAGCACUGGAGCUAAUGGAGUCUCGGAACUGACCUUUGGAGGCAUGUGUGAAUAGCAGGCCUUAGCGGUGGAACUUCGAUCUCCAUAGGACAGGAGACUUCUCCCAGACUGUGUGCAGCUCAGCAGGUGUGAAGAUGCGUAGGUUUGCCUACUGUAAGGUGAUCCUGGCUACUUCGCUGGUCUGGGUUGUGUGUG